GGGGGUGAAAGGCCAAUCAAACCGGGAGAUAGCUGGUUCUCCCCGAAAGCUAUUUAGGUAGCGCCUCGUGAAUUCAUCUCCGGGGGUAGAGCACUGUUUCGGCUAGGGGGCCAUCCCGGCUUACCAACCCGAUGCAAACUGCGAAUACCGGAGAAUGUUAUCACGGGAGACACACGGCGGGUGCUAACGUCCGUCGUGAAGAGGGAAACAACCCAGACCGCCAGCUAAGGUCCCAAAGUCAUGGUUAAGUGGGAAACGAUGUGGGAAGGCCCAGACAGCCAGGAUGUUGGCUUAGAAGCAGCCAUCAUUUAAAGAAAGCGUAAUAGCUCACUGGUCGAGUCGGCCUGCGCGGAAGAUGUAACGGGGCUAAACCAUGCACCGAAGCUGCGGCAGCGACACUGUGUGUUGUUGGGUAGGGGAGCGUUCUGUAAGCCUGCGAAGGUGUCCCGUGAGGGAUGCUGGAGGUAUCAGAAGUGCGAAUGCUGACAUAAGUAACGAUAAAGCGGGUGAAAAGCCCGCUCGCCGGAAGACCAAGGGUUCCUGUCCAACGUUAAUCGGGGCAGGGUGAGUCGACCCCUAAGGCGAGGCCGAAAGGCGUAGUCGAUGGGAAACGGGUUAAUAUUCCCGUACUUGGUGUUACUGCGAAGGGGGGACGGAGAAGGCUAUGUUGGCCGGGCGACGGUUGUCCCGGUUUAAGCGUGUAGGUGUGUGUUCCAGGUAAAUCCGGUUCACUUUAACACUGAGGCGUGACGACGAGGCACUACGGUGCUGAAGCAACAAAUGCCCUGCUUCCAGGAAAAGCCUCUAAGCAUCAGGUAACAUCAAAUCGUACCCCAAACCGACACAGGUGGUCAGGUAGAGAAUACCAAGGCGCUUGAGAGAACUCGGGUGAAGGAACUAGGCAAAAUGGUGCCGUAACUUCGGGAGAAGGCACGCUGACACGUAGGUGAAGUGAUUUACUCAUGGAGCUGAAGUCAGUCGAAGAUACCAGCUGGCUGCAACUGUUUAUUAAAAACACAGCACUGUGCAAACACGAAAGUGGACGUAUACGGUGUGACGCCUGCCCGGUGCCGGAAGGUUAAUUGAUGGGGUCAGCGCAAGCGAAGCUCCUGAUCGAAGCCCCGGUAAACGGCGGCCGUAACUAUAACGGUCCUAAGGUAGCGAAAUUCCUUGUCGGGUAAGUUCCGACCUGCACGAAUGGCGUAAUGAUGGCCAGGCUGUCUCCACCCGAGACUCAGUGAAAUUGAACUCGCUGUGAAGAUGCAGUGUACCCGCGGCAAGACGGAAAGACCCCGUGAACCUUUACUAUAGCUUGACACUGAACAUUGAGCCUUGAUGUGUAGGAUAGGUGGGAGGCUUUGAAGUGUGGACGCCAGUCUGCAUGGAGCCGACCUUGAAAUACCACCCUUUAAUGUUUGAUGUUCUAACGUGGACCCGUAAUCCGGGUUGCGGACAGUGUCUGGUGGGUAGUUUGACUGGGGCGGUCUCCUCCUAAAGAGUAACGGAGGAGCACGAAGGUUGGCUAAUCCUGGUCGGACAUCAGGAGGUUAGUGCAAUGGCAUAAGCCAGCUUGACUGCGAGCGUGACGGCGCGAGCAGGUGCGAAAGCAGGUCAUAGUGAUCCGGUGGUUCUGAAUGGAAGGGCCAUCGCUCAACGGAUAAAAGGUACUCCGGGGAUAACAGGCUGAUACCGCCCAAGAGUUCAUAUCGACGGCGGUGUUUGGCACCUCGAUGUCGGCUCAUCACAUCCUGGGGCUGAAGUAGGUCCCAAGGGUAUGGCUGUUCGCCAUUUAAAGUGGUACGCGAGCUGGGUUUAGAACGUCGUGAGACAGUUCGGUCCCUAUCUGCCGUGGGCGCUGGAGAACUGAGGGGGGCUGCUCCUAGUACGAGAGGACCGGAGUGGACGCAUCACUGGUGUUCGGGUUGUCAUGCCAAUGGCACUGCCCGGUAGCUAAAUGCGGAAGAGAUAAGUGCUGAAAGCAUCUAAGCACGAAACUUGCCCCGAGAUGAGUUCUCCCUGAGACUUAGAGUCUCCUGAAGGAACGUUGAAGACGACGACGUUGAUAGGCCGGGUGUGUAAGCGCAGCGAUGCGUUGAGCUAACCGGUACUAAUGAACCGUGAG
rnacentral:rRNA from 1 species